UCACAAUGGCAUGGUGGUAUU
ensembl:piRNA 21ur-4562 ncRNA